GGAGGUCUUAGCUUAAUUAAAGUGUCUGAGUUGCAAUUAGGAGAUGUAUUAUAUUAUACAGGCCUU
rnacentral:tRNA from 1 species